rnacentral:rRNA from 1 species
UGCGUAGGGGGCAAGCGUUGUCCGGAAUCAUUGGGCGUAAAGAGCGUGUAGGCGGCCCGGUAAGUCCGCUGUGAAAGUCCAGGGCUCAACCCUGGGAUGCCGGUGGAUACUGUCGGGCUCGAGUCCGGAAGAGGAGUGUGGAAUUCCUGGUGUAGCGGUGAAAUGCGCAGAUAUCAGGAAGAACACCAAUGGCGAAAGCAGCUUUCUGGGACGGUACUGACGCUGAGACGCGAAAGCGUGGGGAGCGAACAGG